UACGUAGGUGGCGAGCGUUAUCCGGAAUUAUUGGGCGUAAAGAGCGCGCAGGUGGUUGAUUAAGUCUGAUGUGAAAGCCCACGGCUUAACCGUGGAGGGUCAUUGGAAACUGGUCGACUUGAGUGCAGAAGAGGGAAGUGGAAUUCCAUGUGUAGCGGUGAAAUGCGUAGAGAUAUGGAGGAACACCAGUGGCGAAGGCGGCUUCCUGGUCUGUAACUGACACUGAGGCGCGAAAGCGUGGGGAGCGAACAGGAUUAGAUACCCGGGUA
rnacentral:rRNA from 1 species